CUCCCGCGAUCGGCAAGCCUGAGGCUUCCGGCUCGCACCCCCUUGAGCCCUGCGUCGGCUGUAUCCUUCAGCAGCAAUACCGCCGGCGGCCAGUUCCAGAAGCAUCGUAUUGAUGAGAACAAUGACGAGUCACUUGCAGCACGGACGCGACGCAAACAAGAAAGACAAGUCAUCUCCCGAAGCCGGGCUGAUGAUUAUGGUGAUUCUUAUUGGGUGAUGGACGGGCUCUGGGACUACUUCAGGUCUCCCAGAGGAUCGUCCACCGGACAAAACUCUACUACGAACUCCUCCACCUCUGAGGUGACAGAGUCGGAUGUCUCCUCGCCAUCAUCAGAGGACCUCAAGGGAAGCUCCUGGUCGUGGCGCUCGGGAGAUUCCUCUUACACUGGAGGAGGGGACUCCUUCGGAGGAGGGGACUUCUUAGGAGACUAGC